CUUGAAAAAGGUUGCAAAUGUUGGAAUUCGCUAAAUUCGUGUUUGUUUUCUUGAAGGUUUUUGCCAACAAAGACAAACAGGGAGAUGAAGAUGAAACACAGAGACAUAAAAGAGUCGCUUAGGGAAAUGAUAAAGAGAAGAGAGAAGGCAAUUAAAGCAGGGGAAGAGAGCAAUGAGGACUUGUUGGACAUACUUGUGGAAUCCAAUAUCAGAGAAAUGGAAGCAAAGAAUAUGGGGAUGAGCAUUGAGGAUGUGAUUGAGGAAUGCAAGCUGUUUUACUUUGCUGGCCAAGAGACCACUUCGGUCUUACUGGUGUGGACUAUGGUUUUAUUAGCAAGGUAUCCCGAUUGGCAAAGUAAAGCAAGAGAGGAGGUUUUGCAUGUUUUGGGUGACAGUAAACCUGAUGCUGAUGGCCUUAAUCGUCUCAAAGUUGUAAGUCCCUAGCAUGUCUUUUGAAGGUCCGAUCAAUGAGGUCGACAACUCAAAAACUUGGUUUUUUUUGUUUCGCUAAUUCUACAGGUAACAAUGAUAUUGUACGAGGUUCUAAGGUUGUACCCACCAGUGGUUGAGCUAGGACGUUCCGUUCCAAAAGAAAUAAAACUGGGGAAUUUGUUGUUACCAGCAGGAGCAGAAGUUUCGGUUCCGAUCCUGCAGAUCCACCAUGACAAAGAUCUUUGGGGUGACGACGCACGGGAAUUUAAGCCAGAGCGGUUGGCGGAAGGGGUUUCCAAAGCAACAAAGAGUCAAGUCACGUUUCUGCCAUUCGGAUGGGGUCCUAGGAUCUGUAUUGGCCAAAAUUUUGCCAUGAUGGAAGCCAAAAUGGCGAUGGCUAUGAUUCUCCAACGCUUCUGGUUCGAGCUUUCCCCUUCCUAUGCUCACUCUCCUUACAGCAGGGCAACUCUUCGUCCACAGCAUGGUGCACAGAUAGUUUUACAUAAACUUGGCUCUAAUUGAAUUGUUAUGUAAACAGAUCUUUUUGAAAAUAUAGCGUUUUAGUGUAUCGUCAAAGUCCGGUGUCUGUAAUGGUACAAUUCCGAUGCAUGAAUAGUAAAUUUUAAGAUGUUUGGUUAAGUCCGAAAUAAUAUGCAGAAAUUGAGUGUCUUGAAUGGAUGUAGUAUUUAAUGGUGGACAUAGUUGAGGGAUUAAUGUGGUAAUUAUCGAACAAAUAAUUGCAUAUGGUACAAAGACUUAUAUGGAAAUUAGAGCGGGGGGAGUAGAAAAUGACUACUUUGCUUUGGGCAUCAAUUUAGAAAGAUUUAAAGUACAAAUGUAUUAUUAGUUUAAAGGAUUUGUUUUAAAGAAGGAAUGACAAUUAAACCUCAUGGUUGAUUUGUGGAAGGGAACCGAUGAUGGGAUGAUUAUUCUUAGUGGUAAAAAAAAAACUAUUAAGGAGGUUAUUAUACUUGUUAUCAAUUUCUCAAAAUUUGAAUGGGUUUAAGUCAGAUUAUAUCGAGCUUGUUAGAUGAGUUCACGGACCAAGCUUGCAUGAUAAUGGCUGCUUACAGAAAUGUAUCUAUAGUUUUCUACAAAGUCAUAUGUGAAAUUAUGCAUUGGUACCGCAUAAACAUGUUUUAUGUCUAGAAUAUUAUACGUGUCUAUGUGCAUGGAAUCUACCUAGUAUAUCAUAUCAAUGAACAGUAUCAAUGGUGGACCUCAAAAGUAUUUUUGGGGGAUCAGAAUUAAACUGUAUGUUUUUAUGAAAGUAAAAAUUUAAUUUCACUAUUUUAUAGUCAAUUUCUUUUUAAUUUUUGAAGGAUUAAAUCAAAUUUUUAUAAAUUUUUAGGAGGUUGAAGUACAAUUUUAUCAUUACUAAUUUAAAAUUUUAUAAAUUAUAAAAAAUAUAAAUAAAAAAUUUUAUAUUUUAGGAUAGCCAAGGCUCCUGCCAACUCUAACUCACUGAAUAGUAUAAAUAAAUAAAUACCAUCAUCUAAAAUAUGGGUAAGUGUCCAAAAUAUGAUUUUGGUGAAAAUAUGUAGGGUUGGUCUCAUGGAAGUGUAAAGACAAGAACCCCGCUAAUGUAUGGGAUGUGUAAAGUUGAAUCUAGGGAGCAAAUAGGAGUGAAUCAUUUUGGUAACAUUUGGACAAGAAACAUAAUGAACAAAAUGAAAGGAGAGGAAGCUAGUAAAAGAUUUUUUUGGGUCAUAUAAUUUGUUUGGCAUAUAUUUUUAUAAUUUUUAAAUAUCAUUUUGGAGUUGAAUUAUAACUUUUUUUUAUAUAUUAUCUUAAAAUUUUAUAAAAUUUAAGGAGUUAAAACGUAAUUAUUCCAUGGGUCAGAGCUGCCCUCGCUUUGCAUUUCUUUGAGAUUCAGCCUUAUCUCAAUUGAGGGUUGAGUAGAAAGAUUUGGUGGAGCAAGCAAAGCUAUCAAUCAAGGUUGGAGAAAGCUUAGGAGGUCACAAUGCAUAAUUAUUUAAAUGUAAUUCUAAUAUUUAAAUAAAAUUUAUUAAUAUAAUAUCAGCAAGUGUUAAAUAUAAUGAUCAGAUACCAUUAUAUUUUUAGAAAGAGAAAAUAUGUUUAAACCUUAAAAACGGCGUUACUAAAAAUAAUAAUCACAAAUCUUGAAAUAUAAAAAAUAAAUUUUUUAAUAUAAUUAAAAUUUAAUUUGAAAGCCGAGCUGGAUAAAAUUCUAAUUUUAGAUAAUGGUACCAACAACAAAUCAAUAUUUAAAUUAAAAUUAAUCUAAAUUUAAUAUAAUCAAAUUGGACUCUAAUAUUAAAUUUAAUAUAAUCAAGGUUCAUGAACUUUAUACCCUAUGCUUUACGUAAUUGAAAAAAAAAUCAUUGGACAUAAAAGUCUACGAAAAGUUUCACUAUAUUAAUAAAUAAAUAAAUAAAAAAUAUUGCUACAAGAUUACAACACAAAGUUACAAUAAGAGCUUAUAACUUAACAAAGGCUAUCAAUAAAUAAUCUCAAACAAACUAAAGAGAAAUAUUGAGAGUCCCACCAAAUAGUGAUUGCCUUUAAAAGUUAAAAACUCGAAGUUAUAGUAUCUCAAAUGAAAUUAAACCAUGAACAUUAAAUUUUUCGAGUCUACUAGCUACUGUAAAAAAUUGAGCUCCAACGGACAACAAAUGAACCUUUGAUCGAAGAAAAUACGAAAAUUAGUCUCGGUAAAUCAAGCUGCCAAACUUACUUUUUAUCUUAUCUUUAAUUUGUAAUAAAAUUCAAAAUUAAGGUUUUGUUUGUUUCACUUAGAACAACUUUCAAAAAAUUAAUUUUGGAAAAUGGAUUGAUUUUUCGAAAUAGAUGAUAUUUUAUUGUGUAAAAAUUUUAUUUGUUGUUUGAUGAACUUUUUUUUAAAUCAUUUUUUUAGAAUUAUUUUUAGUGAAACAAAUAUAUCAUAAAUAUAUUUGUUACAAAAUAUUAUAUUAGUAUUUUCUUUUGACAAUUAAAGUUUAUUUUAUGAUAAGACAAUAUUUUAUAAUAAUUAAUAUCAUAUAUACUUAAUAAUAAAUCAUGUCUAAUUAAAAUUUAAGUUAAAUUAAAUAUAUUAAUAAAGCUACAUAUAAUCAUAUUUUAUAUAAUUAAAAUAUUAAUAUAAAUAUUUUUCAAUAAGAUAUUAAAGAAUAUUUAAAAUUUAAAUUUAUUAUUACUAAAAUUAAUUAUUAAAAUAAAAAUGUAAUAUUAAAUAAUUUAUCUAAUGAUAAGUUAUAUUAAUAAUUUAUUAUAUCAUUAAAUAAAAAUAAUUAAAUAUGUAUGUUUAAUAAUAUUAUGUUAUAAUAUUCAUUAUUAAUAUCUUAAUAUUCUUAAACAGCCGUGUCUCAAAGAUGGUUGUGAUGGUGAUGUGAUGAUGCAGCCCCCCUUCUUACAAUUACAAUAAUUUUUAGUGCAAUAAUUAAAGUUGCUGAGUGGUAAAGUAAACUUCUUUUGACUGAGAUGCAUGUAAUAUAUGGAUGUUGAGGUUUUAGACUGCGCCAUCUUUAAAGGGGUUAAAUUAUAUAUUUAUAUAAUAUGAUUAUUGUUUAUGAAUAUAAUAUUAUAGAUAAGUUUUUAUACAUAUUAAUAUGUAUUUUAUUUUAAUGUUAAUAUGUAGUUUUUUAGAUGUGGAUUCACCUAUAUAAUGAUAUGAACUCAUUAUGCAGUCUCAUGAAAUAUGCAAACACAUAUAGUGUAAAUAUAAAGUAUGAACCACCAAAAGUACAGAUCAACACCUAAUUGAAUAAUUGGAUAACAGAUAGGUAAUAAUAAAUAUCAUUCACUAUCCCCUCUUGUUUUAAUUUAUUUUAUUUCCAGUGAGUUAUUUUUUUUAUGAUAAAUUUGCAACAAAUGUUUUUAUCAUUAUUUUGUUGGUAAAUGAUAAUAAGAUUAAAUUUACUUUCGUAAGCUCCUUCAAUUCUUUGGAGUUAGUGGUUUUUUAUUCUGAUCUUUUUUUCUUAUUAAAUUUUUUAUAAUAAAUGUGUUUAUAGAUGAGGUUAGAUUAUAAUUGAAUUAUUUUAUAGCAUUAACAUAAUUUAGAUGGAUUAAAAUUUAUUCUACUAAAAAUAUAAAUUUAAAAUUUUACUUCAAUUUAUCUUAAUUUAUAAAUGAUGAAUUUAAAUUUACUUUUUCCCCAUUAUAUUCAAUUUUCCACAUAAUAUUUGGCCUAGAACAAAAACUAGAACAAUAAAACAAAUAUAAACUAUGCUACAAAGAGUAUACAGCUACAGAAAGCUGAAAUGUUUUCCAAAAAUUAUAUUGUUAACUUUUAAAAAAAAUAUUUUAGCUAUUUAUCAUCAUGAAGAAAAAAGAUACAGUCAUGCACCUGGCCUCAUGCUUCAACACCUCAACCUAGAUUCUCAUCACCUGUAUUUAUCAUCGAUUCAGAUCUUUAUUUUUACUAUAUUCUAGAUCUCCCUAUAAAUAUAUCUUCAAACUUCCUUUGGUUAAGUUCAUUCAUAGAUGGGUGAGUAAACUUGAGCUUCAGCUUUCCACAAACACCUUAAUUUGAAGACACUGUUCUCUCAUGCUAAAAACCACAUGGACGUUUACCAUGUAAUUAGAGAGUUGGUUUCAUUGCUUGUUGUUGGGUUAUUAAUGAUAUGGGGAUGGAGAGCUUUAAACUGGGUAUGGCUGGCUCCAAAGAGGCUCGAAAGGUGCUUGAGACAACAGGGUUUAGCAGGGAAUUCUUACAGGUUCCUUUCUGGUGACAUAAAAGAGCUCUUCACUAUGAGCAGACAAACAAGAGCCAAACCUAUGCCUCUUAGUGAUGAUAUUGGGCCUUAUGUUGUUCCUUUUCAACAUCAAACUGUCAACCAGUAUGGUAUGUUUUUUUGUUUAAUCUGCAAUUUAUGAUAAUUCUUUUUUAUUUAUGUAUGGAAUUUAUUGGGAGGAAAUGCAGGAAAGAAUUCAUUUACGUGGUUUGGUCCAAGACCAAGGGUGAACAUUACGGACCCUGAAAAAAUAAAAGAAAUACUUAACAAAUUUAAUGACUUCCAGAAGGUACGUACCAAUCCACUUGUUCAUUUGCUUGUAAGCGGCCUUGUUAACCUCGAAGGAGACCGAUGGAGCAAGCAUAGAAAAAUCAUAAACCCUGCAUUUCAUCAAGAUAAGUUGAAGGUAUAGAAUAGUGAUGGGUACUCAGACUUUAAAGAAAACAUCAUACUUAAACCUAUGCUUUUCUGACUUAGAAAAUAAUUGGAUGCAGAAUAUGUUGCCAGCAUUUUAUCAAAGUUGUAGUGACAUGUCAAGCAAAUGGGAGAAGAUGGUGUGUACAGAAGGAUACUGUGAGUUAGAUGUGUGGCCUUAUCUCGUAGAUUUGACAAGAGAUGUGAUUUCCCGAUCUGCUUUUGGAAGCAGCUUCGAAGAAGGCAAACGAAUUUUCCAAUUACCAGAGGACCAACUCGUUCUCACAAUCAAAUUAAUACAAACUGUUUACAUUCCAGGAUGGAGGUAACCCUCAACUUAAUUUACUUGAAAAAGGUUGCAAAUGUUGGAAUUCGCUAAAAGCGUGUUUGUUUUCUUGAAGGUUUUUGCCAACAAAGACAAACGGGGAGAUGAAGAUGAAAUACAAAGACAUAAAAGAGUCGCUUAGGGAAAUGAUAAAGAGAAGAGAGAAGGCAAUUAAAGCAAGGGAAGAGAGCAAUGAGGACUUGUUGGACAUACUUGUGGAAUCCAAUAUCAGAGAAAUGGAAGCAAAGAAUAUGGGGAUGAGCAUUGAGGAUGUGAUUGAGGAAUGCAAGCUGUUUUACUUUGCUGGCCAAGGGACCACUUCGGUCUUGCUGGUGUGGACUAUGGUUUUAUUAGCAAGGCAUCCCGAUUGGCAAAGUAAAGCAAGAGACGAGGUUUUGCAUGUUUUGGGUGACAGUAAACCUGAUGCUGAUGGCCUUAAUCGUCUCAAAGUUGUAAGUCCCUAGCAUGUCUUUUGAAGGUCCGAUCAAUGAGGUCGACAACUCAAAAACUUGGUUUCUUUGUUUCGCUAAUUCUACAGGUAACAAUGAUAUUGUACGAGGUUCUAAGGUUGUACCCACCAGUGGUUGAGCUAGGACGUUCCGUUCCAAAAGAAAUAAAACUGGGAAAUUUGUUGUUACCAGCAGGAACAGACGUUUUGGUUCCAAUCCUGCAGAUCCACCAUGACAAAGAUCUUUGGGGCGACGACGCACGGGAAUUUAAGCCAGAGCGGUUCACGGAAGGAGUUUCCAAAGCAACAAAGAGUCAAGUCACGUUUCUGCCAUUCGGAUGGGGUCCUAGGAUCUGCAUUGGCCAAAACUUUGCCAUGAUGGAAGCCAAAAUGGCGAUGGCUAUGAUUCUCCAACGCUUCUGGUUCGAGCUUUCCCCUUCCUAUGCUCACUCUCCUUACAGCAUGGCAACUCUUCGUCCACAGCAUGGUGCACAGAUAAUUUUACAUAAACUUGGCUCUAAUUGAAUUGUUAUGUAAAUAAAUCUUUGUGAAAAUAUAUAGCUUGUUAGUGUAUCGUCAAAGUCCGGUGUCUGUAAUGGUACAAUUCCGAUGCAUGAAUAGUAAAUUUUGAGAUGUUUAGUGAAGUCCGAAAUAAUAUGCAGAAAUUGAGUGUCUUGAAUGGAUGUAGUAUUUAAUGGUGGACAUAGCUGGGGGACUAAUGUGGUAAUUAUCGAACAAAUAAUUGCAUAUGGUACAAAGACUUGUAUGGAAAUUAGAGCAGGGGGAGUAGAAAAUGACUACUUUGCUUUGGGCAUCAAUUUAGAAAGAUUUAAAGUACAAAUGUAUUAUUAGUUUAAGGGAUUUGUUUUAAAGAAGGAAUGACAAUUAAACCUUAUGAUUGAUUUGUGGAAAGGAAUCGAUGAUGGGAUGAUUACUUUUAGUGGUAAAAAAAACUAUUAAGGAGGUUAUUAUAUUUGUUAUCACCGGCCCAAAAUUUAAAUGUAGUCACGUCAAAUUAUAUCGAGCUCGCAAUAUGAGUUCACGGACCAAGUUUGCAUGAUAAUAGGUGUUCACAUAAAGGUAUUUAUAGUUUACUGCAAAGUCACAUGUGAGAUCGUGCAUUGGAACCGAAUAGACAUGUUUUAUGUUUAGAAUAUGAUACGUGUCUAUGUGCAUAGAAUCUACCUAGUAUAUCAUAUCAAUGAAUAGUAUCAAUUGCGGAGCCAAAAUUUUUUUGAGGGGUAAGAAUUAAAUUGUAUAUUUUUACUAAAAUAAAAAUUCAAUUUUACUAUUUUAAUAGUUUAUUUCUUUUUAAUUUUUAAAUGAUUAAAUCAAAUUUUUAUAAAUUUUUAGAGAUCAAAAUAUAAUUUUAUCAUUACUAAUUUAAAAUUUUAUAAAUUAUAAAGUAUUUAAAUAAAAAAAUUUCCUAUUUUAGGGUGACCAAGGUCCUGCCAACUUCCUACUCGAUCACUGAACAGUAUAAAUAAAUACCAUCAUCUAAAAUACUCAAGAAAAACACUCAAGGAUAAAUAGAGAGAUGUUGGGUAAGUGUCCAAAAUAUGAUUUAAGUGAAGAUACGUGUGGUAGGUGUCAUGGAAAUGUAAAGACAAGAAUCCCACUAAUGUAUGGGAUGUGUACACUUGAAUGUAGGGAGCAAAGAGGAGCGAAUCAUUGUGGUAACAUUUGGACAAGAAAUAAUGAACAAAAUGAAAGGAGAGGAAGCUAGUAAAAGAUUUUUUUGGGUCAUAUAAUUUGUUUGGUAUAUAUUUUUUUAAUUUUUAAAUAUCAUUUUGGAGUUGAAUUAUAGUUUCUUUUUAUGUUUUAAAACAUAAUUAUUUUAUUUUUAGAGUGUCAAAGUAGAGGUGAGCAUGGAUCAGACUACUCGGCUCGGCCGGAAGAUCUGUCUGAAAUGUGAGAGGUUUGAGCAAAAAUAUAGGCAAAAAAAAUGGGCUUGGACAAAAAAUAUAAGGCUCGUUUAGAAAAUGGGUCGGGCCUUGAGUAAGACAUUUUUGGCCUCGAGCCUGGCCCGGCUUGAAUUCACUAAAGGACAAAAAAAAUUAAUUUUUUAAAUAUUAUUUUCUUGUUAUUUUCUUCCUAUUUUGCUACCAUUGUACUAUUAUGUUACUACUAUUUUGUUGUUAUUGUUUGGAUAUUGUAUAAACCUUAUUUUAUUGUUAAUUUUGUUAUUAUUUUAAAGACAUUUGUUAAUUUUGUUAUUAUUUUAGAGACAUUUGCUUGUUAAGUUGCAUCUAUCUUAGUGUUAUUUAAGUAUACAUAUUUUUUAAAAUUUAUUUUCAAUUUGUUGGAAAAUAUUUAUUUUAUAUUUUUAGUAUUUUAGAUGUAUUAUAUAUAUUUUAAAAUUAUAUAAAAAUUAAUAUGGACAGGAGGGUCGAGCCCGAGUUUUAGCAUUUUUAUUCGGGUUAGGCUUGGACAAAAUUUUAAGCCCAUUUUUUGGGCCGAGCCUAACAAACAGUCUUGAAUUUUUAGUUGAGCUUGGCCCGGCCCAUGCUCACCUCUAGUUCAAAGCUGCCCUCGCUUUGCAUUUCUUUGAGAUUCAGUUUUAUCUACUGUUGAUUGGCCACUCAAUUGAGGGUUGAAUAGAAAGAUUUGGUGAAGCAAGCUAAGCUAUCAAUCAAGGUUGGAGAAAGCUUAGGAGAUCACAAUGCAUAAUUAUUUAAAUGUAAUUCUAAUAUUUAAAUAAAAUUUAUUAAUUUAGUAUUAACAAGCCUUAAAUGUAAUGAUCAUAUACUAUUACAUUUUCAAGAAGAAAAAAUAUGUUUGAACCUUAAAAACAACAUUAUUAAAAAUAAUAAUCACAAAUCUUAAAAUAUAAAAAAUAUAAUUAAAAAUUAAUUUUAAACUCGAGCUGUAACAGCCCAAAUUUCAGUGGUGUCGGAAUAGUGAUGUGAGAUCACUAAAUACGACAUGUGAGUUUAGAUAUUAGUAAGUAAAAGUUAAGUGUGAUUUUAGAAAUAUUUUUGAAUUAGUGAAAUUGUGAAUUAAAGAAAAUUUCUAGAUAAAAACGAGGUAUCGAGACCUCUAAUUCAUAAACCAAGCCAUAAAUAUUUUUAGAAAUAUUUAUGGAGUGUUACUAAGUUAGUAUUAAAGUUUUGUUAAGAGAUUUUAACAUUUCAGUAAUUAAUUGAAGAAAAAUGACUAAAUUGAAUAAAGUGUAAAACUAUCAAAUAUGAUUAAAUAGCUUAAGAGAUCAUUAAGGAAUGAGUUAAAAGGUAAAUAGACCCAAAUUAGGUGGGUUGGACGGCAUGAGUGUGCAGGAAAUGUAAAAAAAUCAAGUGUGAACAAAGGGCAAAAGUGAAAAUAGGGUAAAAUUUAAUUGUAAAAUAUGAUGUAGUUGGUAAUUUUAGAGAAUUCAUCAUUUUUCUUCAUCUUCAUCAGCUAAAAACACCAUUAGAGAGCUUUUAAGAAGCUGGUUUUAUAUUUUACAGCAUGUAAGUUCAAUUCUUGAUUAUUUAGUUCAAUUCUUGAUUAUUUCUUGUAAUUUUUGUGUUUUUUGAGACUUUUACAAUUGGGUCCUACUAUUUAACUUAUUAGUUUUUGCUUUUAUGAAUGGUUUAGAAAGUUUCCAUAAAUAAGAGCUGAAAUUUUAUGAUGAUUUAUUAUGGAAUUGGGACUGUAAGUUUAUUAUAUGAUGAUUUUAUGAAGAGAUUUUAUAAGAAUUGAUUUUUAGGACCUAAUUGUGAAAGUCGUUGUAAUUAGGGUUUUGUGUUAAAACUUUGAAUUUCAAAGGCUUGGAAGUAGUUAUAAUGUUUAGAUAAAAUGAUAUUUUAGAAUAAUUAGUUCAAUUGAUGAACAAAUUGAGCAAUGACUAAAUUGUAAAAAUUGAAAAGUUUGAGAAAAAAUGUAAUUUCAAAAAUUAAAGGGUAUAAAUUGUGAAGUAGAAUAGAAUUGAAAUAGAUGCUCAUGAGGGAAUGAUUUUAUAAUUACAGAUCAAGAAAACGAAGUGAAUCGUGGAAAGGAGAAAUUGCAAGAAUAUUCCCUGAAAUUUCUACGACUUUUGCAAAUCAGCCCAGUUAAGUUCAUAUGGAAAAAAUUAAUGUUUUGUUAUGAAAAUCUUAUGAUUUGAUAAGGUAUAUUAUUAUAGAUGAAUACUAUCAAAUUGUAAUAAUUAUGAAAUAAUAUUUAAGUAAAAGUACAAAUUAGUUGGAACAAUGGAUUUGAGUGCUUUCGUUCUGUGACCAUGAUGAAUUGAUGGAAAAGGUGUGAUAUGUGCGCCCGUAUAAGACCAUAGCUGGGCUAUGGCAUCGGUGCAAUGUGAUAUGUGCUCCUGUAUAAGACUAUAGUUGGGCUAUGGCAUCGGUGUGAUGUGAUAAUGUGCUUCUGUAAAAGACCAUAUUUGGGAUAUGGCAUCGGUAUGAUAUGUGACCCGUGUAAGACCAUAACUGGGCUAUGGCUUCGGUGUGUGAUAUGUGACUAUGUGCAAGUCUAUGGUUUUACCAUGGCAAUGUGAUAAUGAAGCACUCAAUUCCAUUAUUGUUUCCUAAUUUGACUAUGAAAGUAAAUGAGAAAUAGGCCCAAGAGAUCUAAAAUUGGUGAAUAGUGACAUUGAAAUCAAUCAAAUGAGUUUAUUAAUGAUUUGUGAUUUACAGGAAGGUUUAGUGAAAUUAAAUAUUAUAUGAUUGUGUGCAAUAUUCGGUAAGAUUUAUUUUUCUGUGCUUAUGAGCGUACUAAGCUUCAAUAAGCUUACUUGUGUAUGUUAUUUGUUUUGUAGAUUGACUUAUAUACAUACGGAGGAUUGGAUCUACAUCGAGGAUCACGCUAUCCAGAUUUAUUCUGGUAGAUUUUGUUAAACAACUUUUUGAUUUAUAUGGCAUGUAUAGGGUUGAUUUGAUAAUGUAAUAGUAUGAAUGAUUAAGUAUGUAAAGUAAAUUGAAUGCGAUGGUUGUGUUUGAUAAUGAAAUAUACAUGUUUUGGCUUGAAAUAGUUGAUUUGUUGGACUUUAUUAGUGUAUAAAUGUGAUUUUGUGCAGGAAAAUAUUAAAAGGGUGAGAAAAGAGGCAUUAAAUGACCUAUUUUCGUCCACACGAGUAGGCGCAGGACAUGUGUGACACACAACCUACUAUAUGGGCAUGUGAUAAGAUCGUGUGUCCCUUGCAACUUAAAAAUGAGAAUCAGAAUGUCCAGGUUUAGGCACAUGGCCUAACAUAAGGGCGUGUGGCUUGACCGUGUGACACACCCACGGGCUUUAACAUGGCCGUGUGAUACGGCUGUGUGAAGUCUGCACUUAAAAUGUGAAAUUUAAUUAUCACACGGCCUAGCAACACAGACGUGUGCUCAGGCUGUGUGACUCAAGUUUCUUCUUGAAUGCAAGUCAGAGAGCUCCACGGGCUUGGGACAUAGGCGUGCGUGACCACACAGCCUACCCACACGGGCGUGUCCCUAUCCACACGGGCGUGUGGCCCUGUUUCAUGAUAAUUUUUUUUAAAAUUUUCUAAAAGCUCUGAAAGUUCUUAGUUUGGUCCCGAUCUAUCUCCAACAUAUAUUUUGGGCCUCGUAGGCCCGUAUAAGGGACUUUAAGCAUGUGUUUGAAUAAUAGUUAAUUUGGAAUGAAGUUUUAUGAUCUGGUUUUGGGUGUUUAAUUGUGUUUAAGCCUGGUAAUACCUCGUACCCUGUUCCGGCGUAGAAUACGAGUAAGGGGUGUUACACAAGCUGGAUAAAAUUCUAAUUUUUGAUAAUGAUAGUAAUAACAAAUCAAUAUUUAAAUUAAAAUUAAAAUUAAUUUAGUAUAAUAUAAUUUUUGAGUUUUCGGCAAAGGCACUCAAUGAAUGCUUGGAAAGAAAUAAUGCAACUUAGUGAAAUAAUGCAACUUAGUGAUAGCUUUUGUUGGAGUUAUAUGCUGUUAUUAUAGUUUUAUGUUUUUAUCUUGCAAAAACAACAUAUUGGAGUUUUCGGUGGACUUUUAAGUUUCAUGAUUUUUUCCUAAUACUUUACGUGAAAAAAAUAAUGGUACUUAAAAAUCUAACAAAAGCUUCUCUAUAAUUUUUAUAAAAAAAACAUUGCUACAAUAUUACAACACAAAGUUACAAUAAUAGCUUAUAACUCAACAAAGGCUAUCAAUAAAUAAUCUCAAGCAAGUUAAAGAGAAAUGUUGAGAAUACCACCCAAAUAGUGACCGACUUUAAAAGUUGAAAACCCAAAGCUAUAGUAUCUCAAACGAAAUCAAACCAUAAAUAUUAAAAUUUUUCGAGUCUAUUAGCUACUGUAAAAAAAUUUAGCUCCAACAGACACCAAAUGAGCCUUUGAUUGAAGAAAAUACGAAAACUAGUCUAGGUAAACCAAGCUGCCAAACUUACUUAUCUUAUCUUUAAUCUGCCGUGAAAUUCAAAACUAAGUUUUUGUUUAUUUCACUUAGAACGACUUUCAAAAAAUUAUUUUUGAAAAAUGGAUUGAUUUUUUUGAAAUAGAUGAUAUUUUAUUGUGUUGAAACUUUAUUCGUUGUCUGAAAACUUUUUUUAAAUUAUUUUCUUAGAGUUAUUUUUAGUGAAAUAAACAUAACAUAAAUAUAUUUGUUAUAAAAAAUUAUAUUAGUAUUUUCUUUUGACAAUUAAAAUUUAUUUUAUGAUAAGACAAUAUUUUACAAUAAUUAAUAUCAUAUAUAUACGUAAUAAUAAAUCAUGUUUAAUUAAAAUUUAAUUUAAAUUAAAUAUAUUAAUAAAGCUACAUAUAAUCAUAUUUUAUAUAAUUAAAAUAUUAAUAUAAAUAUUUUUCAAUAAUAUAUUAAAAAUAUUAAAAUUUAAUAUUAUUAUUACUAAAAUUAAUUAUUAAAAUAAAAAAUGUAAUAUUAAAUAAUUUAUUGUAUUAUUAAAUAUAAAUAAUUAAAUAUGUAUUUUAUAAUAUUUUAAUAUUCUUAAACAGCCAUGUUUUAUAGAUGCUGGUGAUCGUGAUGGUGCAGGCCCUUCUUGUUAUAAUUACUAUAAUUUCUAGUGCAAUAAUUGAAGUUGUUGGGUGGUCAAGCAAACCUCUUUUUGACUGAAAUGCAUGUAAUAUACUGGGCGAAUCUAGAGGGGUUCGCGUGGUACCGGUCUCUCUAAAGUUUAAAAUUGUUAUUUAAAUUUUUAAUUUUUUUAAAAAAUUUUAAAUUUAAUAAAAGUAAAAUUAUAUUUUUAGCUCUUAAAAUUAUAAAAAUUAUAUUUAAUCCUUUAAAAGUUAUAAAUAUAUAGACUAAAAAAUUAAAAUUUCAUUCGGCUUAUUAAAAGAUUAUUCUGGCUUUGCUCUUGAUACCGAUGUUGAAUAUUUUAGAGUAUGUUUCUUUAACAUGGUUCAAUUAUAUAUUUAUAUAAUAUAAUUAUUGUUCAUGAAUGUGACAUCGUAACUAAGUUCAUAUGCAUGUCAACAUAUAUAUUAUUUUAGGGUUAAUACGUUUUUUUUAAAUGUGAGUUCACCUAUAUAAUGGUAUGAACCCGUCACGCGGUCUCAUGAAAUAUGCGAAUAUAUGUCGUGCGAACACAAAGUACGAACUACACAGAAUAAGGACUAAGACCCAAUUGGGUAAUCGGAUACGGAUCAGUAAUAAUGAAUUUCAUAACAGCCACCAUCCCCUCAUUUGUUCUAAUUUAUUUUAUUUCCAGUGAGUUAUUGUUUAUGAUAAUUCACAACAAAUGUUUUUGUCAUUAUUUUUUGGUAAAUAAUAAUAAGAUUAAACUCUACUUUCUUAAGCUCCUUCAAUUCUUUGGACGUUGGUGGUUUUUUAUUCUAAUCUUAUUUUCUUAUUAAUUUCUUUUUUAUAAUAAAUGUGUUUAUAGAUUAAAUUGGAUUAUAAUUGAGUCAUUGUAUGGAAUUAACAUAAUUCAUAUCGAUUAAAAUUUAUUCGACUGGAAAUACAAAUUUAAAAUUUUACUUCAAUUUAUCUUAAUUUAUAAAUGAUGAAUUUAAAUUUAUUUUUUUCUCUCAUUAUAUUCAGUUUUCCGGAUAAGAUUUGGCCCAGAACAAAAACUAUAACAAUAAAACAAAUAUAUAUGUUUUCCAAAAAUUAAAUUGUUAACUUUUAAAAAAAUAUUUUUAGCUAUUUCUCAUCAUUGAGAAUAAAAAUAAGGUCACCUCGCCUCAUGCUUCAACAACUCAACCUAGAUUCUCAUCACCUGUAUUUAUCAUCGAUUCAGAUUUUUAUUUUUACUAUAUUCAAGAACUACCUAUAAAUCUAUCUUCAAACUUCCUCUGGUUAAGUUCAUUCAUAGAUAGGUGAGUAAACUUGAGCUUCAGCUUCAACAAACACCAUAGUUUGAAGACACAAUUCUCUCAUACUAAAAAUAUGGAAGUUUACCAUGUAAUUAGAGAUUUGGUCUCAUUGCUUGUUGUUGGGUUAUUAAUGAUAUGGGGAUGGAGAACUUUAAACUGGGUAUGGUUGGCCCCAAAGAGGCUCGAAAGGUGCUUGAGACAACAGGGUUUUGCAGGGAAUACUUACAGGUUCCUUUCCGGUGACAUAAAACAGCUCUCAACUAUGGGCAGACAAACAAAAGCCAAACCUAUGCCUCUUAGUGAUGAUAUUGGGCCUUAUUGUUGGAGUUUCAACACACUUUAACCGGGUAAAGUAAGAAUUUUAAACAGAGCACUAGCAGCAACGUAUUAUACCCGGAUAAAAUAUGAAGGAAAAAUGCUUGGAGUUCAAGCUUUUAGCUACUGUCAAGAAUGAAGAACAGAACUUAGAAGUUUUUAGAAGGCAAAAAAAGAUGGAGCAUAUGGAAGAAAAUCUGAUGAUUUCAUUCAUUGAAACAUUGGCUUAAAGCCAUUACAUAUACCAGUCAUUUGGCUGGUCAAAAGAUUAACAAAUCCUUUACCUAAACACUACCUAACUCCACUAAUUACAUAGGGACUAGGUGAUUUUACUUGCAAACAUAAACAAAGAUGGUGAUCAGCUCUAUCACCAUCAAAUUACAUCAAACAUAAACUAAACUAAGUUCAAAAUGAACUAGAUUACAAAAGCAUAGUUAAACGGUAACAAAAUGUAACUGAGACGGAAAAGAAGUAUCAACCCCUUCAGUUGCAUGUAUUUUACUCGGGUAACUUGUGUGUAUGAAUUCUUGCACAUACUUUACCCGGAUAACAUAAGUGCAUUAAUUUUCACGUGCUUGAAUCUGCAUGGGCUGCAUGGGAACUAACUUCAACACUUAUGUUGCUCCUUUUCUUCAUCAAAUUGUCAACCAGUAUGGUUUGUUUUUUAUUUAUUUAUUUAAUCUUCAAUUUAUGAUAAUUCUUUGUUAUUUAUGUAUGGAAUUUAUUGGGAGGAAAUGCAGGAAAGAAUUCAUUUACGUGGUUUGGUCCAAGACCAAGGGUGAACAUUACUGACCCUGAAAAAAUAAGAGAAAUACUUAAACAAAUUUAAUGACUUCCAGAAGGUACAUACCAAUCCACUGCUUAAUUUGCUUGUAAGCGGCCUUGUUAACCUCGAAGGAGACCGAUGGAGCAAGCGUAGAAAAAUCAUAAACCCUGCAUUUCAUCAAGAUAAGUUGAAGGUAUAGAAUAGUGAUGGGUACUCAAGACUUUACAGAAAACAUCAUACUUAAACCUAUGCUUUUCUGAUUUAGAAAUAAUUGGGUGCAGAAUAUGUUGCCAGCAUUUUAUCAAAGUUGUAGUGACAUGUUAAGCAAAUGGGAGAAGAUGGUGUGUACAGAAGGAUACAGUGAGUUAGAUGUGUGGCCUUAUCUCGUAGAUUUGACAAGGGAUGUGAUUUCCCGAUCUGCUUUUGGAAGCAGCUUCGAAGAAGGCAAGCGAAUUUUCCAAUUACUAGGCGACCAACUCGUUCUCAGAAUCAAAUUAAUACAGAUUGUUUACAUUCCAGGAUGGAGGUAACCCUCAACUUAAUUUACUUGAAAAAGGUUGCAAAUGUUGGAAUUCGCUAAAAUCGUGUUUGUUUUCUUGAAGGUUUUUGCCAACAAAGACAAACAGGUAGAUGAAGAUGAAACAGAGACACAUAAAAGAGUCGCUUAGGGAAAUGAUAAAGAGAAGAGAGAAGGCAAUUAAAGCAAGGGAAGAGAGCAAUGAGGACUUGUUGGACAUACUUGUGGAAUCCAAUAUCAGAGAAAUGGAAGCAAAGAAUAUGGGGAUGAGCAUUGAGGACGUGAUUGAGGAAUGCAAGCUGUUUUACUUUGCUGGCCAAGAGACCACUUCAGUCUUACUGGUGUGGACUAUGGUUUUAUUAGCAAGGUAUGCCGAUUGGCAAAGUAAAGCAAGAGAGGAGGUUUUGCAUGUUUUGGGUGACAGUAAACCUGAUGUUGAUGGCCUUAAUCGUCUCAAAGUUGUAAGUCCCUAGCAUGUCUUUUGAAGGUCCGAUCAAUGAGGUCGACAACUCAAAAACUUGGUUUCUUUUUUCGCUAAUUCUACAGGUAACAAUGAUAUUGUACGAGGUUCUAAGGCUGUACCCAUCAGCGACUGAGCUAGGACGUUCCGUUCCAGAAGAAAUAAAACUGGGAAAUUUGUUGUUGCCAGCAGGAACAGAAGUUUCGGUUCCUAUCCUGCUGAUCCACCAUGACAAAGAUCUUUGGGGCGACGACGCACGGGAAUUUAAGCCAGAGCGGUUCGCGGAAGGGGUUUCCAAAGCAACAAAGAGUCAAGUCACGUUUCUGCCAUUCGGAUGGGGUCCUAGGAUUUGCAUUGGCCAAAAUUUUGCUAUGAUGGAAGCCAAAAUGGCAGUGGCUAUGAUUCUCCAACACUUCUGGUUCGAGCUUUCCCCUUCCUAUGCUCACACUCCUUGCAGCAUGGUAACGCUUCGUCCACAGCAUGGUGCACAGAUAAUUUUACAUAAACUUGGCUGUAAUUGAAUAGUUAUGUAAACAAAUUUUUGUGAAAAUAUAGCGUUUUAGUGUAUCGUCAAAGUCCGGUGUCUGUAAUGGUACAAUUCCGAUGCAUGAAUAGUAAAUUUUGAGAUGUUUGGUGAAGUCCGAAAUAAUAUGCAGAAAUUGAGUGUCUUGAAUGGAUGUAGUAUUUAAUGGUGGACAUAGUUGAGGGACUAAUGUGGUAAUUAUCAAACAAAUAAUUGCAUAUGGUACAAAGACUUGUAUGGAAAUUAGAGCUGGGGGAGUAGAAAAUGACUACUUUGCUUUGGGCAUCAAUUUAGAAAGAUUUAAAGUACAAAUGUAUUAUUAGUUUAAGGGAUUUGUUUUAAAGAAGGAAUGACAAUUAAACCUUAUGGUUGAUUUGUGGGAGGGAACCGAUGAUGGGAUAAUUACUCUUAGUGGUAAAAAAAAAAAACUAUUAAGGAGGAUAUUAUACUUGUUAUCACCGGCCAAAAUUCAAAUGGGUUUGGGUUGAAUUAUAUUGAGCUCGCAAGAUGAGUUCAUGGACCAAGCUUGCAUGAUAAUGGGUGUUCACAGAAAGGUAUCUAUAGUUUCCUGUAAAGUCACAUGUGAGAUCGUAUAUUGGGACCGCAUAAACAUGUUUUAUGUUUAGAAUAUGAUAUGUAUCUAUGUGCAUGGAAUCUACCUAGUAUAUUAUAUCAAUGAAUAGUAUCAAUUGCGGAGCCAAAAUUUUUUUUGAGAGGUCAGAAUUAAAUUGCAUAUUUUUACGAAAAUAAAAAUUCAAUUUCACUAUUUUAAUAGUUUAUUUCUUUUUAAUUUUUAAAUGAUUAAAUUAAAUUUUUAUAAAUUUUUAGGAGGUUGAAGUACAAUUAUAUCAUUACUAAUUUAAAAUUUUAUAAAUUAUAAAGGACUUAAAUGAAAAUUUUCCUAUUUUAAAGUGACUAUAAAUAAAUAAAUACCACCAUCUAAAAGACUUAAGAAAAACACUCAACAAUUGUUGAUAAAUAGAGAGAUGUUGGGUAAAUGUCCAAAAUAUGAUUUAAGUGAAGAUACGUGGGGUAGGCGUCAUGGAAAUGUAAAGACAAGAAUCCCACUAAUGUAUGGGAUGUGUACACUUGAAUGUAGGGAGCAAAGAGGAGCGAAUCAUUGUGGUAACAUUUGGACAAGAAACAUAAUGAACAAAAUGAAAGGAGAGGAAGCUAGUAAAAGAUUUUUUUGGGUCAUAUAAUUUGUUUGGUAUAUAUUUUUUUAAUUUUUAAAUAUCAUUUUAGAGUUGAAUUAUAUUUUCUUUUUAUGUUUUAAAACAUAAUUAUUCUAUUUUUAGAGGGUCAAAGUAGAGGUGAGCAUUGGUCGGGCUAUCCGGCCCGGCCUAAAGAUCUACUAGAAAUGUGAGAGGUUUGAAUAAAAAUAUAGGCCCGAAAAAUGGGUUUGGACAAAAAAUAUAAGGUUCGUUUAGAAAACGGGCCGAGCCUUGAGUAAGGCAUUUUUGACCUCGGGCCUAGCCCUGCCUGAAUUCACUAAAAGACAAAAAAAAUUAAUUUUUUAAUAUUAUUUUCUUGUUAUUUUCUCCCUAUUUUGCUAUCAUUUUACUAUUAUUUUGCUACUAUUUUGUUGUUAUUAUUUGGAUAUUAUAUAAAACUUAUUUUAUUGUUAAUUUUGUUAUUAUUUUAGAGACAUUUACUUGUUAAGUUGCAUCUAUCUUAGUGUUAUUUAAGUAUACAUAUUUUUUAAAAUUUAUUUUCAAUUUGUUGAGAAAUAUUUAUUUUGAUAUUUUGAGUAUUUUGGAUGUAUUAUAUAUAUUUUAAAAUUAUAUAAAAAUUAAUAUGGGCAGGCUGGGUCGAGUCCGAGUUUUAGCAUCUUUAUUUGGGUUGGGUUUGGACAAAAUUUUAAGCCCAUUUUUCAGGCUGAGCCUAACAAAUGAUUCUAAAUUUUUAGUUGAGCUCUCAGCCCGGCCUAUGCUCAUAUCUAGUUCAGAGCUGCCCUCACUUUGUAUUUCUUUGAAAUUCAGUCUUAUCUACUGUUGAUUGCCUACUCAAUUGAGGGUUGAGUAGAAAAAUUUGGCGAAGCAAGCAAAGCUAUCAAUCAAGGUUGGAGAAAGCUUAGGAGGUCACAAUGCAUAAUUAUUUAAAUGUAAUUCUAAUAUUUAAAUCAAAUUUAUUAAUAUAGUAUUAACAAGCCUUAAAUGUAAUGAUCAUAUACUAUUACAUUUUCAGGAAGAGAAAAUAUGUUUAAACUUUAAAAAUAACGUAAUUAAAAAUGAUAAUCAUAAAUCUUAAAACAUAAAAAAUAUAAUUAAAAAUUAAUUUUAAACCCUGGAUAAAAUUCUAGUUUUAGAUAAUGAUACUAAUAACAAAUCAAUAUUUAAAUUAAAAUUAAUAUUAAUUUAAUAUAAUUUUUGAGUCUUCAGCAAAGGCACUCAAUGAAUGCUUGGAAAGAAAUAAUGCAACUUGGUGAUAACUUUGUUGGAGUUAUAUGGUCUUAUUAUAGUUUUAUGUUUUUAUGUUGCAGAAAAAACAUAUUGGAAUUUUUCGUGGACUUUCAAGUUUCAUGAUCUUUUCUUAAUACUUUAUGUGAAAAAAAAUAAUGGGAUUUAAAAAUCUAUCAAAAAGCUUCUGUUGUAGGCCAAUUUUGGCUCAAAUACAACCCAAUUAUUCAAACCCCUUAAAACCCAAUACAAAAUAGCCCAACUACUAACCCUAGCCCAGACCAAUAAUAAAAAAUAGCAAAGAAAAAAAGAACCCUGGCCACCCCGUGAUGUUUGCCACCCCACGCCUCUGCAGCACCAUUCCCAGGCAUCACACACUCUCACCAACUCCUCCAUACCCUGCAAAAUGAGACAAACACCAAGACAGAAGCUGACAACACAAGAGCAGUAGCAAGAGGCUUAAAAUAUCGUUUUGAAAUGGCUAUAAGAGGGAGAUCCGAUUGUAAAAAUUGGGGGGGAUUCAAUAUGCAAAAAUUGUAUCACGAAUUUUGGCAAAUCAAAAGCAAAAAAAAAGCACAUAAAAAAGGUUGAAUUUUAUUUCCUUUUUUUGUUUCUUUAUUUUUUAUUUUCCUUUUUUUCUUCAAAAAAUCAGUUUUAAAACAAAAAAAAUAAAAAAAAGAAGAAAGGGGAUUUACCUGAACUUCGGAGCCGCGACAUCGGAGCCCUACUCCGUCGUUGAAAUCGGCUCUCAAAAAGGAAAAUGGGGGUCUCUCCCUUCAGAUUUUCGGGCUAAGAAAAUAGGGCCUUCAGGCGCCCCCAAAAUCGGGGUCAAAAGCCCCCAUUCAAGCAACCCCGACCACCACUUACGGUGGCUCCAUGGCGGCGGCAAUGAUGGGUAUAAACCCUAGCAAAAGGGGAAAUGAGGGAGAGAGAGCCAAGAAACUCUCUGUUUUUUUUGCUUUUCAAAAUGGGGGCUGGAAACACAAAAUAAAAAAAAGGGUUUUAAGUUAUUUGAAAAAAAAGGGCUGCACUUUAACUCGUUUAACAGGCCUAAUAUGUGCCUUUUAAUUGAAAGUGAGGGAAUUAUACAUUAGGUCCUUCUCAUUUGCGCAAACAUUCAAUCAUGCCACAUUUAUUUCACUUCCUUUUUAAUUUGGCUUUAAAACUUACGCAUAUUAGCAAUUCGGUCCCAUUUCUUUUUAUUUUAUUAUUUUCACCCCGAAUUUCUGUCUAGAGUUCAAAUUAGCCCCUUUUCGUCCUUUUCUUUUCUUUUAUAUUUUAUUUUAUUAUUUGAUAUUAUGGUAUUAUAAUUGUAUUUUAUUUUCUUGCAUAUUAUUUGCUAUUAUUAUUAUCACCUUCAUUCCAUUAUUAUUAUUGCUAUUGCUAAGUUUUUUGUUGUUUAUAUUUUUAUUUAUAUUAUUAGUAUAUUGUUAUUCCUUAGUUUAUUAUUAUUAUAUCAUUUUUUAUGUAUUUAUCUACAUUAUUAUUAUUAUUAUUAUUUUUGAACACAUCAUGCAUUUUAAAUUAUUACCAAUUUUAAAUAUUUUAUAUAUAUCAUUAUGUAGUAUUUAUUUUUAGAUUCUUAUACGUAUCUUGGUAUUUUAGAUUAUUACAUGUAUACCUAUAUAUAUAUAUCUUUUAUUUUAAACAUUUUUCUAUGCAUUAUCUUACAUCAAAUUUCUUUUUUUUCACGUUAUUCUUUCUAAAUAUUUUAUAUGUCAUUUGAACUAAAUUCUAUUUUUAAAAUUUUUAUAUAUUACUUAGUUACAUUAUUUUAUAUGAAAAUUAUUUUGAACUCUUUUAUUAUUUAUUGUAAACCUUUAUUAUUGUUAAUUUUAAGACUAUAUAGGUAUUUAUUAAAAAAAAUUCAUAAAUAUUAUUUUGGAUUUAUAUAUAUUUUUAUUUUUGAACAAUAUUUAUUUUAAAAUUUUCUUUUACACAUUUUAAGCUCUUUGGUAAAUUAUUUUAAAGUGUUCUUGUUAUUUUUUUUUGUAUUAUUCAUCUUAUUUCAUUUAACAUAUUGUUUAUUUGAAGUUUGCUUUAUAUAGGUUACUUUAUUUUAUGCCCAAAAUAUUAUAUAUAUUAAUUAUUAUAAAUUGUUUUAUAUUCUUUACUUUAAAUUGCCUUUUCAUUUUAAAAUUGUUUUAUGUAUUAUUUAUUUAAAACUGUCUUAUUAUUUUGAAUUGUUUUAUGCCCCAUUUUUUAGAGCUCAAUUUAUUUAUUUUUAUUUAUCACCCAUUAUACGUUAUUUCCUUAUACUAUUACAUAUUUUAUACUUAUAUAUACAUAUAUAUGUGUAUGCAUCAUUUGAUCUAAAAUUUUUGUAAAUAAAUGUAUCAUCUUUCCUUAAAUCAUUUUAUAUAUUUUAAAUAUCCAUUUUUCACUUUAUUUACUUUUAAAACUUAGUUAUGAUCAUGUUAAAUAGUUUUUAUAUCUUAUUCGUUUUAAUUGGCUUUAUACUAUAUAUUUUUAUAUUAUCACAUAUGUUAUUUCAUUUAUUUGUUUAUUUAUUUUUUUUCUCCUUGAUUACUAAUAUUAACAUUUAAAUAAUGCAUGUUGAGUGAUUAUUGUUAUUGCGUGUACCUUAAUUCAUUCACUUGCGUAUUUAUAUUUGUCGUACAUUUGUGAUGUUAUUCUUGUAUUAUUAUUUCAUGGUCUAUACUCCCUUUCAUUUUGUUUCGUUUAAAUCAUAUCGUGCAUCUACCUCAAAUGUAUUUGUCCAAACAUGGACCGUUUUAAUCCAAACAAAUGAUACACGUCGCUUAAGUAUCACACUUGCUAUGGUUUUUAAAAACAAAAAUUUCAAAAUGAGGCAAUGUUUCGCGUUUUAGAACAUCGAGAAAUUGUGCCCUAACUUAUGGGGUUUCGGUUUUCUCGUUGGUUCUAAAUGUCAAAGUAUCCUUUUGAGUUUUAAAAUACACGAAAUUUUAAUUAAAAUUAAAGAUACACCUAUGCUCGAGAAUUCAUGGUAUGGUGUCCUAACUUACGGGAUGUGAUGCUCCGAUAUCUUGAGAUAAGGAAAUCUUUAAACAAAUUGUUUUGAGCUAAUUCAAAAAUUUUAAAAUUGAUAUUGAUAGAAAAGAUCAUAUUUCAAAUUCAUUCCCGAUUUUUGAUUUUCGACAUUAAGACACUAACUAAUCAAUUCGGUACUAAUUUUUGGGCGUGUCGGGGGCGCUAAUCCUUCCUCGCACAUAACCGACUCCCAAAUUUGUUCUCUUGGAAUUCGUAGACCAAAAUGCCGUUUUACUAAACUAAAAUUGUUAAAACAAAGGUGAUCCGAUCACACCAAAUAAAGAUCGGUGGCGACUUUCGUUUUAAUUUUUGUUUCCAAACAAAGUCGACCCCAUCCUUCAAAAAUCGGUUUCGACAGCUUCACUAUAAUAAUAAUAAUAAUAAUAAAUUGUUACAAUAUUACAACACAAAGUUACAAUAAGAGUUUAUAACUCAACAAAGGCUAUUAAUAAAUAAUCUCACACAAGCUAAAGAAAAAUGUUGAGAAUACCACUCAAAUAGUGACUGACUUUAAAAGUUGAAAACCCGAAGCUAUAGUAUCUCAAACGAAAUCAAACCAUAAACAUUAAAAUUUUUCGAGUCUACCAGCUACUGUAAAAAAUUCAGCUCCAACAGACACCAAAUGAGCCUUUGAUCGAAGAAAAUAUGAAAAUUAGUUUGGGUAUACCAAGCUGCCAAACUUACUUAUCUUAUCUUUAAUUUACAGUGAAAUUCAAAACUAAAGUUUUUGUUUAUUUCACUUAAAAUAACUUUCAAAAAAUUAUUUUUGAAAAAUGGAUUGGUUUUUCGAAAUAGAUGAUAUUUUAUUGUGUUAGAAUAUUAUUCGUUGUUUGAAAACUUUUUUUAAAUCAUUUUCUUAGAGUUAUUUUUAGUGAAACAAACAUAACAUAAAUAUAUUUGUUACAAAAAAUUAUAUUAGUAUUUUCUUUUGACAAUUAAAAUUUAUUUUAUGAUAAGACAAUAUUUUAUAAUAGUUAAUAUCAUAUAUAUAUACACGUAAUAAUAAAUUAUGUUUAAUUAAAAAUUAAUUUAAAUUAAAUAUAUUAAUAAAGCUACAUAUAAUCAUAUUUUAUAUAAUUAAAAUAUUAAUAUAAAUAUUUUUUAAUAAUAUAUUAAAAAUAUUAAAAAUUUAAAAUUAUUAUUACUAAAAUUAAUUAUUAAAAUAAAAAAUGUAAUAUUAAAUAAUUUAUUCAAUGAUAAGUACUUAUAUUAAUAAUUUAUCGUAUUAUUAAAUAUAAAUAAUUAAAUAUGUAUGUUUAAUCAUAUUACGUUAUAAUAUUUUAAUAUUCUUAAAACAGUUUUAAAGAUGCUGGUGAUGGUGAUGCUGCAGGCCCUUCUUGUUAAUUUUUAGUGCAAUAAUUGAAGUUGUAGGGUGUGGUCAAGCAAACCUCUUUUGACUGAAAUGCAUGUGAUAUACCGGUAAGUGGCGUAUCUAGAGGGGGACUGGCGUUGCCCUCGCCCCCUCCUCCCCACCCCCCCCCCCCCCCCAAAAAAAAUUGAAAUUGUUAUUUAAAUUUUUUCAAAAAUUUUAAAUUAAUAAAAGUAACAUUAUACUUUAUCCUCUAAAAUUAUAAAAAUUCUAUUUAAUCCUUUAAAAAUUAUAAAUAUAUAGACUAUAAAAAAUUAAAAUUUCAUUCGACCCCCCUAAAAUAUUGUUCUGGCUUCGCCCUUGAUACCGAUGUUGAAUAUUUUAGAGUAUAUGUCUUCUUUAACAAGGUUAAAUUAUAUAUUUGUAUAAUAUAGUUAUUGUUCAUGGACGUGACAUCGUAACUAGGUUCUUAUGCAUGUUAACAUAUAUCCUAUUUUAGGGUUAACAUGUAUUUUUUAAAUGUGAAUUCAUCUGUAUAAUGAUAUGAACCCAUCACGCGAUCUCAUAAAAUAUGCGAAUAUAUGUCAUGCGAACACAAAAUACAAACCACACACAAUACAUAUCAAGACCCAAUUGUGUAAUUGGAUACGGAUCAGUAAUAAUGAAUUUUCAUAACAGCCACCAUCCCCUCUUUUUUUUCUAAUUUAUUUUAUUUCCAGUGAGUUAUUAUUUAUGAUAAUUCACAACAAAUGUUUUUGUCAUUAUUUUGUUGGUAAAUAAUAAUAAGAUUAAACUUUACUUUCUUAAGCUCCUUCAAUUCUUUGGACGUUGGUGGUUUUUAUUCUAAUCUUAUUUUCUUAUUAAUUUCUUUUUUAUACAUGUAUGGUAUUAACAUUAUAUCAAUUAAAAUUUAUUCGACUGAAAAUAUAAAUUUAAAAUUGUACUUCAAUUUAUCUUAAUUUAUAAAUGAUGAAUUUAAAUUUAUUUUUUUCCUCUCAUUAUAUUUUUCCGGAUAAUAUUUGGCCCUAGAACAAAAACUAAAACAAUAAAACAAAUAUAUAUGUUUUCCAAAAAUUAAAUUGUCAACUUUAAAAAUAUAUAUUUUUAGCUAUUUAUCAUCAUAGAGAAAAAAAAAAAAAAGGUCACCUAGCCUCAUGCUUCAACACCUCAACCUAGAUUCUCAUCACCUGUAUUUAUCAUUGAUUCAGAUUUUUAUUUUUACUAUAUUCAAGAACUACCUAUAACUAUAUCUUCAAACUUCCUCUGGUUAAGUUCAUUCAUAGAUAGGUGAGUAAACUUGAGCUUCAGCUUCAACAAACACCAUAGUUUGAAGACACAAUUCUCUCAUACUAAAAAUAUGGAAGUUUACCAUGUAAUUAGAGAUUUGGUCUCAUUGCUUGUUGUUGGGUUAUUAAUGAUAUGGGGAUGGAGAGCUUUAAACUGGGUAUGGUUGGCCCCAAAGAGGCUCGAACGGUGCUUGAGACAACAGGGUUUUGCAGGGAAUCCUUACAGGUUCCUUUCUGGUGACAUAAAAGAGCUCUCAACUAUGAGCAGACAAACAAGAGCCAAACCUAUGCCUCUUAGUGAUGAUAUUGGGCCUUAUGUUGCUCCUUUUCUUCAUCAAACUGUCAACCAGUAUGGUAUGUUUUUUAUUAUUUAAUCUUCAAUUUAUGAUAAUUCUUUGUUAUUUAUGUAUGGAAUUUAUUGGGAGGAAAUGCAGGAAAGAAUUCAUUUACGUGGAUUGGUCCAAGACAAAGGGUGAACAUUAUGGACCCUGAAAAACUAAGAGAAAUAUUUACCAAAUUUAAUGACUUCCAGAAGAUACGUACCAAUCCACUGCUUACUUUGCUUGUAAGCGGCCUUGUUAACCUCGAAGGAGACCGAUGGAGCAAGCAUAGAAAAAUCAUAAACCCUUCAUUUCAUCAAGAUAAGUUGAAGGUAUAGAAUAGUUAUGGGUACUCAGACUUUACAGAAAAUAUCAUACUUAAACCUAUGCAUUUCUGAUUUAGAAAUGAUUGGGUGCAGAAUAUGUUGCCAGCAUUUUAUCAAAGUUGUAGUGACAUGUUAAGCAAAUGGGAGAAGAUGGUGUGUACAGAAGGAUACAGUGAGUUAGAUGUGUGGCCUUAUCUCGUAGAUUUGACAAGAGAUGUGCUUUCCCGAUCUGCUUUUGGAAGCAGCUUCGAAGAAGGCAGACGAAUUUUCCAAUUACUAGACGACCAACUCGUUCUCAGAAUCAAAUUACUACAAACUGUUUACAUUCCAGGAUGGAGGUAACCCUCAACUUAAUUUACUUGAAAAAGGUUGCAAAUAUUGGAAUUGGCUAAAUUCGUGUUCGUUUUCUUGAAGGUUUUUUCCCACAAAGACAAACAGGGAGGUGAAGAUGAAACACAAAGACAUAAAAGAGUUGCUUAGGGAAAUGAUAAACAGAAGAGAGAAGGCAAUUAAAGCAGGGGAAAAGAGCAAUGAGGACUUGUUGGACAUACUUGUGGAAUCCAAUAUCAGAGAAAUGGAAGCAAAGAAUAUGAGGAUGAGCAUUGAGGAUGUGAUUGAGGAAUGCAAGCUGUUUUACUUUGCUGGCCAAGAGACCACUUCGGUCUUACUGGUGUGGACUAUGGUUUUAUUAGCAAGGUAUCCCGAUUGGCAAAGUAAAGCAAGAGAGGAGGUUUUGCAUGUUUUGGGUGACAGUAAACCUGAUGCUGAUGGCCUUAAUCGUCUCAAAGUUGUAAGUCCCUAGCAUGUCUUUUGAAGGUCCGAUCAAUGAGGUCGACAACUCAAAAACUUGGUUUCUUUGUGUCGCUAAUUCUACAGGUAACAAUGAUAUUGUGCGAGGUUCUAAGGCUGUACCCAUCAGCGACUGAGCUAGGACGUUCCGUUCCAAAAGAAAUAAAACUGGGAAAUUUGUUGUUACCAGCAGGGACAGAAGUUUCGGUUCCGAUCCUGCUGAUCCACCAUGACAAUGAUCUUUGGGGCGACGACGCACGGGAAUUUAAGCCAGAGCGGUUCGCGGAAGGGGUUUCCAAAGCAACAAAGAGUCAAGUCACGUUUCUGCCAUUCGGAUGGGGUCCUAGGAUCUGCAUUGGCCAAAAUUUUGCUAUGAUGGCAGCCAAAAUGGCGGUGGCUAUGAUUCUCCAACGCUUCUGGUUCGAGCUUUCCCCUUCCUAUGCUCACUCUCCUUGCAGCAUGGUAACGCUUCGUCCACAGCAUGGUGCACAGAUAAUUUUACAUAAACUUGGCUCUAAUUGAAUUGUUAUGUAAACAAAUCUUUGUGAAAAUAGUGUUUUAGCGUAUCGUAAAAACUCCUGUGUCUGUAAUGGAACAAUUCCGAUGCAUGAAUAGUAAAUUUUGAGAUGUUUGGUGAAGUCCGAAAUAAUAUGCAGAAACGGAGUGUCUUGAAUGGAUGUAGUAUUUAAUGGUGGAGAUAGUUGAGGGACUAAUAUGGGAAUUAUCAAACAAAGAAUUGCAUAUGGUACAAAGACUUGUAUGGAAAUUAGAGCAGGGGGAGUAGAAAAUGACUACUUCUACGGGCAUCAAUUGAGAAAGAUUUACGGUGCCAAUGUUAGCAAUUCUUUGUGCUUCAGCCUUAAACAUUAGCAAGAUUUUAAUACCGGGCUUAACUAGUGUUGAUUGCCCGCUCAAUUGAGGGUUAAGUUGAAGGAUUUGGUGAAGCAAGCUAAGCUAUCAAUCAAGGUUGGAGAAAGCUUAGGAGGUGACAAUACAUCAUUAUUGCAUAAUUAGUUUAAAUGAAAUCUUAAUAUUUAGAUAAAAAUUAUUAAUAUAGUACCAACAAUCCAUAUCUUUUAACCACGUGUUUCAAGAUUCUGAAUUUCAUUAAUGAUUUGCAAAAUAUAUCCUCCAUUCUUAUUGCGUGGGUCUAAUGAAAAAUUCUCCUAUUUCUAAUUGUGAUAAAGUUGAAACUUUCUUUAGAAAAAAGGGCAGCAACAUUUUUCAAUUAUUGAACAUGUUAAAUAUGACUCUUAUUUUUAGUCAAAUUUGAAAAAUAGUCUUUCAGUUAAACUUUGUUUACUUGUUUCAAUCAAACACUGAUUAGUUUAGAUUAUUUUAUUAUUAUUUGAUCUAUGAAUUUAGCUUAUAAAUAGGCUCUUUUACAACCUUAGAAAAUACACCCAUUAGAAAUUAGAACUCAUAACACAUUUAGAGAAUUUUGAGUUUACGUUUUGUGGGUUCUUUGUUUUCGGGGUUUAGUUUUUAUCUCCAUCUUUUAUACUCUUCGUUCUUUUGCCAUUAUAGUAAAAUUAUCUUUGCCCGUGGUUUUUUAUCCUCUUUGGAGGGGUUUUUCCACGUUAAAUUUGUGUGUUCAAUUUCUCAAUUUAUUCUGCUAUUUUCUUGUUCGUUACUUAAUCGGGUUAAAAUCCUAACAAGUGGUAUCAGAGCUAGUUCAAUUUUCAUAGAUCAGUCCGUUCAGAGAUGGCAACAACAAGGUUUGAAAUUGAGAAGUUCGAUGGUGAGACAAAUUUCAAUUUGUGGCAAGUUCGGAUGAUGACAAUUCUAGUUCAAUCAGGCUUGAAAAAGGUUGUUAUCGGGAAAAAGACUGAGAAUCUAAAUAAAACAGAAUGGGAAGAGCUUGAUGAAAAGGCUUUAUCUGCAAUCCAGUUGUGCCUCACGAAUACGGUAUUGCAAGAGGUAUUGAUGGAGAAGACCUCAUCUGCCUUGUGGAAAAGGUUAGAAACUCUUUAUGCGACUAAGUCUCUGGCUAACCGUUUAGUGUUGAAACAACAUCUAUUUACGUUUCGCAUGAACGAAGGUGAGCUUCUUAGAGAUCACAUCAGUCAAUUCAUUACUCUUUUAAAUGAUUUAAAGAAUGUUGAGGUUCAUAUUGACGAUGAAGAUCAGGCUAUGCUAUUAUUGUGCUCUUUACCCCCUUCAUACAAGUCUUUCAGGGAGACCCUGAUUUAUGGUAGAGACAAACUUCCGUUCGAAGAUGUGAAGGGUCAUUUGUUGAGUAGAGACAAACUCGACAAUGAGCUUCAUUUGGAUAGCAAGACAGAUAGGCAAGCUUCCAUUUUUGUAGCAUCAAAGAAAUGAGAUAAAAUGUGUCGCUAUUGUAAAAAGUUAGGUCACGUCAAAGCAGAUUGUUAUAAACUGCGAAAUAAAAAAGCUGCUGAGAGUAACAAGGAAGAUGUAGCUGGUGCUAAUUUGGCCGAUGAAAAUGGGGAUGAUUUCUUGUUAGUGUCAACAAGUGAUAACACCAAGCUCACGUCCGAGUGGGUCCUAGAUUCAUGAUGUUCUUUCCACAUGUGUCCCAAUAGAGAAUGGUUCUCCACAUACAGUUCGAUUGAAGGUGGAGUUGUGCGCAUGGGAAACGAUUCAUCUAGUAAGGUAAUUGGUAUUGGUACUGUUAAAAUUAAGAUGCACGAUGGGACGAUUUGGACACUCUCAGAUGUUAGAUAUGUACCUGAUUUACGAAAGAAUCUCAUCUCCUUAAGUAGUUUAGACUUGAAAGGAUGCAAAAUCAACAUCGAGUCGAGCGGUAUUAAAGUAUCUCGUGGAGCUCUCGUUUUGUUAAAAGGUAAAAGAACCGACAGUCUUUAUAUUCUGGAAAGUUAUAUAGUGACCGGUGAAAUCGGACGUCCCUCGUCCGUUACGGAGUUGAAGUCAACUUGUUUGGAGUGGAGGCAACUUGGUCAUAGGAGGGAAAAAUGUAUGACUGUUUCGUUGAAGAGAUGUUCUUUUUUAAAUGCAGGUUUUGAAAAGUUAGGGCACUGUGUUCGUAAAAAUCAGACCCGGGUUAGUUUUGAUUUGGCAGUGUACAAGUCGAAGGCUAGAAGUCGUCCAGUUUCUAAGCACAAAUUUGACUCAGUUGAUUCCCUGCAUAGUUCAAGAUAGGCUCGUGGCGGGCUUUGGCAAAGAUGGCGUUGUGGAAAUAUGAGUCAAGGUGGAGAUUUGUUAAAUAUGACUCCUAUUUUCAGUUAAAUUUGAAAAAUAGUCUUUCAGUUAAAGUCUGUUUACUUGUUUCAAUCAAACACUGAUUAGUUUAGAUUAUUUUAUUAUUAUUUGAUCUAUGAAUUUAGCCUAUAAAUAGGCUCUUUUACAACCUUAGAAAAUACACCCAUUAGAGAUUAGAACUCAUAACACAUUUAGAGAAUUUUGUGUUUACGUUUUGUGGGUUCUUUGUUUUCGGGUUUUCGGGGUUUAGUUUUUAUCUCCAUCUUUUGUACUCUUCGUUCUUUUGCCAUUAUAAUAAAAUUAUCUUUGCCCGUGGUUUUUUAUCCUCUUUGGAGGGGUUUUUCCAUGUUAAAUUUGUGUGUUCAUUUUCUCAAUUUAUUCUGCUAUUUUCUUGUUCGUUACUUAAUCGGGUUAAAAUCCUAACAGAACACCUAGGUGAAUUUUCAUUUUUUUUUGGAUUGGGUGUAUGUUAAAAUUGAUUUUUUUGACAGAAAUUAGUAGACUUGAGAAUUUUUACUUUGUAGGGUUCAAUUUCCGUUUGGGUAUUGUAAUUUCGGGUUUUCAACUUUCAAAGCUAAUCAUUGUUUAAGUGAUAUUCUCAACUUUAAUCUUUAAUUUACUUGAGAUUAUUAGUUGAUUGUUUUUGUUUGAAUUAUAUGAUAUUAUUGUGUCUUUAUGUUUUAAUCUUUUAGGAAGAAGUUUUUACAUGGACUUUCAAACUUCGUGAUUUUUACUAUAUACUUCACUUGAAAAAAAUUCGUGAGAGAUAAAAAUUCACAAAAAAAACUUGCUAUAAGAUUACAACAUAAAACCAUAACAAGAGCUUAUAACUCAACAAAAGCUAUCAAUAAAUAAUCUCAAGCUAGGUAAAGAGAAACGUUGAGAAUAUCACCCAAACAGUAACUUGCUUUAAAAGUUGAAAAUCCAAAGUUAUAGUACCCCAAACGAAAAUCGAAUAUUAAACAUUAAAGAUCUUUGAGUCUACUAACUACUGUAAAAAAAUCAGUUCCAACGGACACCAAACGGACCUUUGAUCGAAGAAAAUACGAAAACUAGUCUAGUUAAAACAACUUGCCAAACUCACUUUUUCUCAAUUCUUUAACUUGCAGUGAGAUUCAAAACUAAGGUUGUGUUUGGUUAACUGAAAACAACUUUGAAAAAAUUAUUUCUAAAAAAUAAUUUAUUUUUUUGAAAAUGAUUGAUAUUUUAUGAUAUUUGGAUGAUUUUUUGUAAAAUAUAUUUCGUUGUUUGAUAAUUUUUUUGAAAUCAUUUUCUUAGAGUUGUUUUUAGUAAAACAAACAUAAAAUAGAUAUAUUUGUUACAAAAUAUUAUAGUAAUAUUUCCUUUUUGACAAUUUAAAUUUAUUUUUAUAACAAGACAAUAUUUUAUAAUAAUUAAUAUUAUAUAUAAACUUAAUAAUAAACAAUAUCUAAUUAAAACUUCAUUUAUUUUAAAUAUAUUAAUAAAGCUAAGUAUAAUUUAAACAAAUACUCAUGUUUUAUAUCAUUAAAAUAUUAAUAUAAAUAUUUUCCAAUAAUAUAUUAAGAAUAUUAUUUAAAUUUUAAAAUUAUUAAUGCUAAAAUUAAUUAUUAAAAUAAAAAUGUAAUAUUAAAUAAUUUUUCAAAAUGAUAAAUUAUAUUAAUAAUUUAUUAUAUUAUUAAAUAUAAAUAAUUAAAUAUGUAUGUUUAAUAAUAUUCAACAUUAUAAUAUUUUUAUUAAUAUUUUAAUAUUCUUAAUUUUUAAAAAAUCAAAAUAAAAAAUUUAUUAUUAAUAUAAUAGUAUUGGGCUUGAUUCAAGUUAGUUUUUAUAUAAAAAAAUAAAAUUAUACAUAAAUGAACUAAUUUUAAAAAAAUAACUUACACUUUUAAAAAAGUAAACUAAUUUACAGAAAAAUAAACUUAUUUUGUGUUAAUCCAUUAAUUUAUUUUUUUAAUAAAAUUAUUUUCAUGAAAUAAAUAUAAAAAAGUACAAAAAAAACAUUUUCCCUAUUAACUCUCGAUACUAAACUGCCAUUUUCUUCCUCUCCCCUAAUUUGUAUGUAGCUGUGAAUGUUUAAUCAAAUUGAGUAAAAAUAAAAUUUGAGUUAACAAGCCAUAUUUUAUCAUCUUAAUUCGAUUUAAAUUUUUUUGAAUCAAGUCAAAAACUAAGAGCACAUAAAUUUGAGAUUUUUUAAAGAAAAAAAAACUUUAACAUGAUAAACUUAAAUUGUUAAUUAACUUACUUAGGUCUCAAAAUUUUUUAUAUAUAUUUUAUAAUUUUUAUAACUUUUCAAAAAAUAUAAAUUUUAAAAUUUUUAUAAAUAAUUUAAAUGUAAUUUUUGUUGAGUGAGAGAUUAAUUUACUCAUCUUUAAAAUUAAAAAAUUCAACUCAACUCAAAUUCAAAACUUAUAUAACUCAAUUUGAUUAACCCGAAAUUUAAUAUCUUUUUAAUUUUUUCAAAUCAAAUUUAAUUAUGCUCGUCCUAUAUCAAUAACUUUGUAUCCAGAUCAAGCUUCUUUUAAGCUAUAUAUAAAAUUUUAGAGAAUAUAUGGUCACCACGGCCCAAUGAUUGAACACCACUAUACUCUCGUCGAUGUAUACUUAAACAAAAUUUCAACAUUCUUUGCACAAGUCUUUGGCCUGUGGUGUUUAUAAUUGAGCUCUAACCUUUGUCUAUUCCUUCAUAAUCAUCUUAAUUUUUUGAGGAUAUUAUUUACUCUUUUAAUAGGUAAAUAAAUUUAUUAAUAUUAUCAUACGUUUCAUCAUAAUAUUAUUUUUUACAUAAAUUUUAAUAGAUAUGUUAAUAAUAAAUUAAUUUAAUUGGUAAUAUUUAUUUAUUCUCAUGACUCAUUUUUAAUAAAGAAGAUAAAAAAAAUUAUUAGUUAUAUUUUUAACAAAAAAUAUUAGUUAUAUUUCUAAGUUUAAAUCUAAAUCCAUACUAACUAUUUUUUAUUUUAUAUUUAAUUAUUAUAAUACAUAAAUAAUAAAUAUUUUUUUUCCUAUUCAUGCUACCAAACAAUCCAUUAAUCAUAACUUAUUAAUAUUUAUGGAAAGUAAAUCGGACGCCAAAGAAACCUUAGUCAUACCAAAAAGAAAGAAGAGAUAGAGGUGGGCAAAGCUGACGUUCAGCUUUUAUAAACACCAUCAUUUGAUGACACAGUUCUCAUAUUCAAAUCAAAAGACAUGGAAGUUCACCUUGUAAUUAGAGAUCUGGUUUCACUGCUUGUUGUUGGGUUAUUAAUGAUAUGGGGAUGGAGGGCUUUAAACUGGGUAUGGUUGACCCCAAAAAGACUAGAAAGGUGCUUGAAACAAGAGGGUUUUGCAGGAAAUCCUUACAGGUUCCUUUCUGGAGACAUCAAAGAGAGCUUCACUAUGAGCAGACAAACAAGAGCCAAACCCAUGCCUGUUAGUGAUGAUAUUGAGGCUUAUGUUCUUCCUUUUCUUCAUCAAACUAUCAAGAAUCAUGGUAUGUUCUACAUUAAUCUGCAGUUUCAUCGUGAUAUUUAGAUUUCUUUUUUUAUGUCUGAAAUUUAUUAGGGGAUAUGCAGGAAAUAAUUCAUUUAUGUGGAUUGGUCCAAGACCAAGGGUGACAAUUAUGGACCCUGAAAAAAUAAGAGAAAUAUUUGCCAAAUUCACUGACUUCCAGAAGCUUCAUUCCAAUCCACUGGCUAGAUUCCUUGUAGGUGGCCUUUCCAACCUCGAGGGAGACCAAUGGAGUAAGCAUAGAAAAAUUGUAAACCCUGCAUUUCAUCAAGAUAAGUUGAAGGUAUGUUGUGUUUGCACUUUUUUUCCUCUUUUAAUUCAAUCAUUUUGACUUACCUUAAUCAAUAACUUUAGGAGACCGAUUUUCAUUUCUAAUAUAUUUAUGUACUUUCUUCUGGUAUGGAAAUAAUUGCAGAACAUGUUGCCAGCAUUUUAUCAAAGUUGUAAUGAGAUGAUAAGCAAAUGGGAGGAGAUGGUGUCUAAAGAAGGAUACAGUGAGUUAGAUGUGUGGUCUUAUAUCGUAAAUAUGACAAGAGAUGUGAUUUCCCGAGCUGCGUUUGGGAGCAGCUACGAAGAAGGAAGACGAAUUUUCCAACUAUUAGAGGACCUAACCUCUCUCACAAUCAAAGUUUUUCAAUCUGUUUACAUUCCAGGAUGGAGGUAAACCUGAACUUUAUCUUCGAGUUUUAAGGAAAAUGUUACAGAUGUUGAAAUUCGAAUCUCGGGUGUUUGUUUUCUUGAAGGUUUUUACCCACAAAGACAAACAGGGAGUUGAAGAUGAAACACAAAGACAUAAAAGAGUCGCUUAGGGAAAUGAUAAAGAGGAGAGAAGGCAAUUAAAGCAGGGGAAGAGAGCAAUGAGGACUUGUUGGACAUACUUGUGGAAUCCAAUAUCAGAGAAAUGGAAGCAAAGCAUAUGGGAAUGAGCAUUGAGGAUGUGAUUGAGGAAUGCAAGCUCUUUUACUUUGCUGGCCAAGAGACCACUUCGGUCUUACUGGUGUGGACUAUGGUUUUGCUAGCAAGAUAUCCUGAUUGGCAGACUAAAGCAAGGGACGAGGUUUUGCAUGUUCUUGGUGACCGUAAACCUGAUGCUGAUGGCCUUAAUCGUCUCAAAGUUGUAA
rnacentral:lncRNA from 1 species